GGGCUAAGUACGUGCGCGCGGACGGGGUGAUAUGGGGGGGGCGAGCGUUGGCUGGGAUUAUUGGGGGUAAAGAGCUCGGAGGCGGCCUGUCGCGUCGGAUGUGAAAGCCCGGGUCGUAACCCCGGUUCUGCAUUCGAUACGGGCAGGCUAGAGUGUGGUAGGGGAGAUCGGAAUUCCUGGUGUAGCGGUGAAAUGCGCAGAUAUCAGGAGGAACACCGGUGGCGAAGGCGGAUCUCUGGGCCAUUACUGACGCUGAGGAGCGAAAGCGUGGGGAGCGAACAGGAUUAGAUACCCCAAGUC
rnacentral:rRNA from 1 species